AAUGAGAGGAACGGCAGGGCCAAGCUGAUCAUGGUGGAGGAUGGGACUGAACCAGACGCUCUGACUAAAGUUCUUGGGCCCAAAUCCAGCAUCGCCCCAGCAACUCCUGACGAUGAGGAAGUGGACACCUCCAACAAGAAGAAGGCAGGAUUGUACAUGAUUUCAGAUGCCUCUGGCUCCAUGAAAACAUCUGUUGUGGCCC